ensembl:lncRNA
AUGUAUCAAUUUUUAAUAAUCCAGAUAAAACUAACAAUAUACAUUUUCCUUCACCUACUGACAUAGAACAAUCUAUUAUAUAUAACUAUUUAAACGAAAUGAAACGAACAUUAAAAUAUAGUACAUAUAAAAAUAUGAAUAUACCAUAUGAUAGUAAUGGUAAUAUUACUAUUAAUAGUAGUACGAAUAAAAAAAAUUUUGAAAAUAAUAGAGGUGUUGUAGGUUAUAACACGAAAACCUGUUCAAAGGAAAAUCAGAUUGAAUUACCUACAUUGGCUCAUAAUACUACCUACAUUUCUAAGAAUAAUAAUAUUGGACUAAUUAAAAAAAAAUCUUUUGAUCAAAAAGAUAUGAAACAGUAUACAAUAAGUGGUAAUGUUGCAACUAUUGGAGGUGUACCAAAUUAUGUUUUACCAGGUUAUGUCUUACCAAAUCAUGUUAUAUCAAAUCAUAAUGCGAAUUGGAGUAAUAAUAAGAGUAAUAGGAGUAGUAAAAGUAGUAGUAGUAGUAGUAGUAGUAGUAGUAGGGGUAGUAGUAGUAAUAGUGUUAUUCCCCUUUUGAAAAAGGAAUUACAAGAGAUGAAUAGAAAUAAUAAAAAUUAUGACCAAAUGCAGUAUUUAAGCCGAACCAAUAAUAUAGUUCAUUCAGUCAUUAACGACUUUAAUUUGGAUUUAUUAAACCCUACUUUGAAUAAUAAUCAUAAUAACAAUAGUAGUAAUAGUAGUAAUAAUAGUAAAAAUGUUAAGUGUGAAAAUAUAGAAAAAAAAUUAUUAAAUUUGUAUAUGAGCACAAAUUUUAUUAAUAAGAAUAUGAUAAACAAUGGAAAUGUUAAUAACAAAGGUGGCAUAAAUACUACUAGUACUUGUAACAAUAUUAAUAGUAGUAGUACUACUACUAAUAAUAGUAGUAAUCAUAGUACUAAUAGUAAAAACUCAGCUGAUAUGAUAAAUAUGCCGAUAAAUGUACAAGGAUUGCAGAAUUUAAUUAUAAAAAAAAAUGUACAAAAAAAUAUUACCUUACAAGUUAUGUCAGAGCAAAAUAUAGAUUACGAUAUAAAAAAAAUUAAUAAUACUUUUGACACCUUUGGUACAGGAAAAGUUCAAGAGUAUAUACUAUUAAGAAGAAAUAAUAAUGGAACUAUACAACAAAACACACUCAACAAUCACCAACUUGGUACAACAAAUGGGGCAACAAAUAAGGCAACAAAUGGAGCAACAAAUGGAGCAACAAAUGGGGCAACAAAUGGGGCAACAAAUGGGGCAACAAAUGGAGCAACAAAUAAUACUACAAAUAAUACUACAAAUAAUACUACAAAUAGUACUACAAGCAGUAUUAUUAACAAUAAAGAAAACAAUGUUAAUAUGAUUCGUUUUAAGGGGAGUAACUGUAUGGAUAGUACCAGUAUAAACGCUACAGACAUGAUUAACGGGAAUAUUAUCAAGGAUACUAUAACUACAGUUGGUAUAAGUAAUGGUGGGGGAAAAAGUAACAUGAAUAUUAACACGUGUAAUAAUAACAAUAUCCAUAAGUGUAUUGGAAUUAUAAAUAAUAGAAAUAUAAGCGUCAGUAAUAUGAACAUGAGCGGCAAUGUAAAAGAUAUAUAUGAAAAUAACCCAAACAAAACAAAUGAUUACAUAACAAAAAACAUAACAAGUAAUAUAAAUAACAUGAACACAACAAAUCAGGAGUAUAA